rnacentral:misc_RNA from 1 species
UUAAUACUACUAUUUUUAUUAGCAUUAAAUGAUGUUUCUAGAAAUUUCAAAGUAUUGUCAAGGCUGUGCAAGUUAAAACUGACUAUGUGAAGAUGAACGAGAUCACUUGUAAAGCCAUUGAUUGGUGUAAGAUUUUAUAAUAAAAUUCUGUCAGUGUUGAUAAUUCAACUAUUUAUCCACUAGGAUAUUUAUUCAUGAUCAGGAACUUUAUGUAAAGAUAUAUUAUAAGUCAGGAGACUACUGUAGAUUCCUAAUCAGAAGCGAGGAAUUAAUAUACGAGGAAAAUUGCAGGAAGCACAUCUCACAGAUUUUAAUAUCUUGCUUUUAUAUAUUGAACAGAUGUAAACUAAUUAAAACUAAGAUGAAAAUUCCGCUUUGUUGACAUCAUAUUCAAGCGAUUUAAUGCAAAAUGGUGGAAUUGCGGAAUUAAGUACUCGCUUAAAAUAAGGAAUCUACAGAACAAUAUGUGCUAGAAAAAAUUAUUUAGCAUUACGUGAAUCAAAAGUUUAUGAUGGACAUUGAGAUGUCUUCAUAAUUCUGAACACAAAAAAAUGUGGUGGUACAGUGUACUUCCAAUUUUGAAUAUGUAUUUUGGUUGUGAGACCAAAGUCUGUUGAAUUUUGUUAUUCAUUCCAUGUCUGUGUUUGUAUAUGUUUUAAUUUCAUAUGUCUCCAAUAACCACAUUGUUGGAAACACACAUCCAGUCUUACUUGCAUCUAUUGACCAAGAGCCAAUUAAAUCACUCAUAAAUAAUGUAAUGUUUAUUGAUCCAAUUUCGUUGUUUUUUUUGGAGUUUUUUUGUUUGUUUGGGGGUUUUUUUUGGGGGGGGGGUUAGUUAUGUAAGAAAACAUUUUACCAGGUAUAAACUAGCUAAUAAGGCCAAUGCAAGAAUUUGAUAAAAUCAUUUACCCUUAAAAAAGAACAAUACUCAUAUUUUGGUGUUUUAUACUUUUAUUGGCUAAAUUGUGAGACAUGCCGAGAAAUUUUUAUCUAAUUGACCAUGACCCAAAGUUUAUUUGAUACUGGACUGGGCUUCUUACACUGACUUGCAUAUUUUUUUUGCAUACUAUUGAUCUAAAAUCAUAAUUUUAGUUUUCUGAGAUGAUUUACUACCUGGUAAUCUACUGUUAUGAAUUUUGAAUUCUUACAUCCCUUCUAUAUGGAUGUGAAUAAUAUAGGAGAUUUUUAGGUAUCCCGAGAACUUUUUUUACUUUUUGACAAAAAAGUGGCAAAGCAUAAUACAAGGUAUUUGCUAAAUACAGGAAAGUGCCAUACUUACUUGACAUUGAAAAAAAAAUCUUUAAAUUACUAUUUCUUUUGACAACAAAGACAGUUUGUGUUAAAAUAAAGGGAAAAGCAAGAUAUCACACUUUUUUGAAUGUCAAAUACAAGAUGAAUCUUGAUGAAAUAAAUGUGGCUUUUUCUAUGUCAGUGUUGAGAGAGUGUGUCAAAUAUUCAAGUAACUGUUAAAUCCAUUGUCUUCCGGACGUAUGUUCAUUUUGUCUAUUUUUUUGCCAUGUAAAUCAUUGAAUAGUCAUACAUGGAAUUUAAUUUAAACACAUUUGCUGUUAUAUGAUUUUACUUGUCAUUUUAUGUUUGUUAUAUGUAUUAAAGAAGGGAUAUUGAAUAAAGUUAGAAAAUC